AUACGUAGGGUGCGAGCGUUGUCCGGAAUUACUGGGUGUAAAGGGAGCGUAGGCGGGAGUGCAAGUCAGAUGUGAAAUACAUGGGCUCAACCCAUGGGCUGCAUUUGAAACUGCAUUUCUUGAGUGAAGUAGAGGUAAGCGGAAUUCCUGGUGUAGCGGUGAAAUGCGUAGAUAUCAGGAGGAACACCGGUGGCGAAGGCGGCUUACUGGGCUUUUACUGACGCUGAGGCUCGAAAGCGUGGGGAGCAAACAGGAUUAGAUACCCUGGUAGUCCACGCUGUAAACGAUGAUUACUAGGUGUGGGGGGACUGACCCCUUCCGUGCCGCAGUUAACACAAUAAGUAAUCCACCUGGGGAGUGCGGCCGCAAGGUUGAAACUCAAAUGAAUUGACGGGG
rnacentral:rRNA from 1 species